AUUCUUAAUUUAUAUAGUCUUAGCUAAAACCAAAUAAUCAAAUAAUAUUAUAAUAUUUUAAUUCUGUAUGAGUAGAGUAGGAUAAAUUAUUUAGAAAGGAAGCGAAGAGAAGAGAAGAUAAGAAAAGAAGGAAACGAAAGAUGAAGAUGGUGGUGUCCAAUCUGCCGGAAAUUCAGGGGUUUCGAUUCGAUUCCGUUGGGAAAGUUUUGCGCCAAUCUAUUAUUCCCGGACUGCCUGAUGACUUGGCAUUGAGAUGUUUAGCAAAGCUGUCUCAUGGGUACCAUGGAAAACUUGAGACGGUUUCAAAAGCAUGGAGGGAUUUAAUCCGCAGUGCAGAAUAUGGAAACUACAAAGCCAGACAAGGCUGGUGCGGAAACUGGCUAUUUGUGCUUACCGAAGGCUCCAAGAAUGAGUGGAUAGCUUAUGACCCUGAAGCUGAUAAAUGGCAUCCUCUGCCAAUCCCAAAGAUGUUGUUCACUACGACACCUCAUAUUGACCUUAAACACUUUGGGUUUUCAUGUGUCAGCGUUUGUAAUCGGUUUUACCUCAUUGGAGGCUCCUAUGCCCCUCAUGAUUCUGCAUUUCCCCAUCAAAGGCAUUUCAUAACCAAUGCGGUUUUCCAAUUUGAUCCAUUUCUUAAACAGUGGAGCAAUGCAGCGAGCAUGGUCACCUCCCGUUCCCAUUUUGCAUGCUGUGUUGUUUCUGGUAAGAUUUAUGUAGCCGGUGGACGCAACUUAUCUACUCCCAGAGGCCUUGUUCUCGCUGAGGUUUAUGAUCCACUCACAGAUAAAUGGGAGGAGUUGCCACCAAUGCCCAAUCCACAAAUGGACUGUUUAGGCUUAUCAUAUAAAGGGAAAUUUCAUGUUCUGAGCGACCAGGUAGGCUUGCCAGACCAAAAUACGUCUGAGGUUUUUGAUCCCUCCGAUGGAACAUGGUGCACAGUGGAGGAUAUCUGGCCUUUCUCAAGGGCAAUGCAAUUUGCAGUUCAGGUAAUUGAAGACGACCGCAUAUAUACUGUUGUAGAUUGGGGUGAGAGCUUGAUUAAAACUAGGGAUACUGAAAAAGGAGAAUGGCAAAAUGUAGGUUCAGUUCCAUCAGUGGUUCUUCCUGAUCAUGGUCGGCCAUUGGAGGCUUUUGGCUAUGGCUUUGCUGCCUUAAGAAAUGAAUUAUAUGUUGUUGGAGGGAAAGUUCUCAAGUGGGAAGAAUCAGGUGCUGGGAGGUUUGAUAUUGUGAAGUUAGGUCUUGUGAGGGUUUGUGACCCUUUGGUUAUGCCAUUAAAGUGGAGAGAAACUAAGCCCAUGUUUGGGUCAGCUUGUGGCUCUAUUCUAGGAUGUGCGUCAAUGGAGGAAGGAUCUUCAUAUUGAUCAAGGUGUCAGCGGUUGUGGUAUGGCAUGCAUUAUGGUUAUGAUGACUUACAGUAUGGUAAGGAUAGAGUUGGUGUACUUUAUACAAAAUUCUGGACUUCAUUAUUGUACUUCAGAAAAGACUUUGCCUUACCAUGUUUUCUCUCCCCCUACUCUCUUUAUCAGUGACGAUAAAGAACAUGAGGAUUGUGUUAUUCACUACAAAAUUGGUAACUUUAAUUUUUUCCAUUCCUUUGUCUUAUUACUUAAUUUCCUCGUGCAUUUCAAUUCUUUUGUGAGUUCAUGAAUUUCAUUGUGCAUGGAUCUUUGCAUUUUUCAUUGCUUUUGUGUGCACAUGCAUAUGAUUUAUAUUUCAGUUCUUCACCCAAUAUCACAUAUUGAUAUAUGAAAAACCAACAUGUAUUUAUGCUGACAAAAGGACUAGCUUGUCUGCAUAGAUUAUCUCAAAUAUCCAUUUUUUGAGAGCUCUAACAACUACCAGAGCAUCCGUGUUCCUCAUAGUCAAUGACUAUGUCAUCUAUAAUUUGGUUUAUUUGAUUCAUAGUGAUUUCAUUUUAUGUUUUUCUAAAAUAUAAUAUAGCAAAAUGGUUAGAGAAGUAAAGCUAAUCAAGGAUAUUCAAGCUCAACAAAGAGGUUGGACAGUAAAAGUGGUGAUUAUUGAGAAAGCAAUGCCACGAGUUUCCAAAUCAAGUCCAAACAAAUAUCAAAGGUUAAUCUUAGCUGAUGAAGAAGGUAAUAAGAUCCAGGCCACAAUAUAUGGUGGAGACAUCCACAUCUUCCGAGACACACUCAUAAUUGGGAAAAAUUAUUAUAUUUCUAAUGCUUGGGUUAAAGAAAUUAGAAGUGACUGGAGAUUCAGAGAUAAUUGUGCCUGCUGUUUACAGCUUUGUCCCGUUCUCACGACUACACACUUAUAUUGACUCUCUAUCCCACGUGGCUAUGUUUGUCUAUAUAGUCAAUUUGUUCAGCUAUAUUUUUAUAACUUUUCAUUUGUGAAUCUUUCUUUUUUUUAGGAUUCUGUUAAAGAUAUUGAAAAAAUUGCCACAUUAUCCUCCAGUAGUCAUAAGCUUCUAAUUCAAGUUAAAGCAUCUAAACAUGAAUAUCGUGAUACUACAAGAUGGAAAUACACAAUCCUUUCUGUUUGUGAUACUAUUUCAAAAGAAAUCAACACAUUAACACAAAUAGAUACUUCAAAUGAUGCUGAAGUUAGUCAAGUUUUAGAAAUUGUUGAAGAGCAAAGUGGAAAAUCAUUAGGCAUAACUGAAUUGAGAGGUAUGAACAUGUUUGAUACAUUAUAUCCUAAGUGAAAUUACAUGAGCUUUUAUUUAAUGUUCUAAUGCAUAUAUAUUACAACUUUCAAAAUCAGAUAUAUCUGGAAGUGCUGACAAUGCUAAGAUAGAGCAAAUGAGCAAUGAAGAUAAAGUCCUAGCUGAUUUGGUUUCAAAGCCUACUGCAAGAAACAAUGCAACAAAGAAACUAAAGCUGAUGAUUUCCAAAAGUGCAGAUGAGGCAGAUCCAAUAGCGUUGAAUCUUGAAAGUUUUCAUUUACAAUUUGGUGAAGGGAGUAGGAAGCAGUUUGCCGAGCUUAAAGACAAUGUUUAAUUUGUUAUCAUGGGAACCAUCUUUUUAUUAAUGUGGACAUGAUAGAUUACUAUCAGUUCAUAAGUAGAUUAUUAUCAGUGUUUUGUGAAUUUAUAGCAUAUUUAGACUAUACUAUGACAGUUACACUAAUAUUAUUAUUUU